UUUGGUUGGGUGAAUAACGAGCAGUGGGCAUAGAUGAUGCCAUUCCUUUAGCUGAAAACCUGGUGUAAUCUAGAGGGGAUACAAAACUGUUUGUGUAGGAAAAUGUAAUGUGAGGGAUGUCAGGGGAGUGAGGUGGCAUUUUUGAGGGAAUUGCUGAGGUAAUUGAAGGGAGACCAGCAGACAGUUUCCCUGGGAAAUCCGAGGCCCCUCGGGCCCACAGCCAGGACUCUCCAGGGCUAAGGGGUCACACUUGAGACUCACUGUGUCCUCCUUCCUUGGCAGCAGCCAGCAGGGAAGGGAGAAGAGGAUCCCUGUGGGAUGAGACUGGAGAGAGCGAGCAGAGGAGCAGCCUCGGGCUGGAGAAAGGCAAAGGGACCAACAUGGUGUCACCAGGGCACCUGUGAGGAACAGAAUGGACACUUGGAGGCCACGUGGAGGAAAGGGAUGGACAUCUCUGUCUUCAGCACACCUCCAGUGGGAGCUACCUGUGAAAGCUUUCCUUCACUUCUGCACUUGCAGCUGGAUCCCUGAGAAACUCCAAACUCCAUCCCACUGAUUUUCAGGAGCUCCUGGCCUCCUCCUGCCCUGCGCUCCCAGCCAGCUGGGACACACCGAGGGAACACCAAGGAGCAUCGCUGGCAGCAAGCAGGAGACACCGAGGCCUCUGGGCCAGAAGAACAGCCCUGGCCUCAGCAGCCACCAUCGCUUUGACCUGGCAACACUCACCUGCAGGAAACGCCCCCUGGCACUCUCCAGAAGAGCUUGGGCCACAGAGCAAGGUGACCCUCAGGACUUGUCUUGUUCGCUUCUUCCUGGGGAAACACAGGGACAUUGCAGGAGCACACGUACAGCUGCUGAGUAAAUCCUGGAGAGGGCAGAAAAAUCAGGGUUAUGGGGAAGAGUUGGUGCUGGCAUGCUGAGUGCCAGCCAGUUCUGCCCUACAGCCAUUGCAGGGGCUGGUGUGUAAAGCAGCAUUAGCAGAAGGGAAGGAGCUGCAUUUGUAGAGGAGUUCUCUUACUGGCAGCAAUCAUUCCCAUCCCACACAGGACCUUUGGAACAACCCUGGGACUGGCUCAGGUGUUUGGAGCAGGGUGCUGAGAAGGCCAAAAUUCUGUGUUCGAUGCACAGCUGGGCUGGUCACUGCUCAGCAUUUGACUCGAUGAUCCUCACGACUCUGGAAAUAAAGAAUAGUUUCCACUGGUUUUUUAACACGAGGGGUUUUUCCCUAGUGUUUCUCUGGGGCUCCAGUCCCACA